GGAGAAGUUAAGUGAAGUUUUUCAAUCCACAGCUGGCAUGUAAAAUUAAAUUCACAGAAAUUAAAUCCCUCCACUGAUGAAAAAGGCAUCAGGGUGUAAAAAGAAGAUUAAUCUAGCAAUCAAAUACCUCGAUGAAUGUGCAGAGUGGCUUGGAAGUAAGCAGUAGUUAAAAACAAAUGUAACAAAAUAUAAGAUGGAAUACUUCACAUCACAGUUUUGGCUGAGGCUCCAAAGACUGAGAAUAAAUCAGUAUCUGCCCAGUCACCACUGUGUGCCAAAGGAGGUGCUGGAUUGCCUCUUCAGGACAUGCUACAUGGAUGGAGAGAAGAUUCCUUGGGGAGAUUUGGUGUGUGCAUAACCAGUCCCGCCAGCACUGGAGAAAGGAGGAGGCCUGCACAGGUUGUACACGAUUCUUUCCACCUGGAAACUUGAAACAUGUGCCCUGGAGUUGAGGAUGCUUGGUUUAAUGAUACUGAUCUACAGUUGAGAAAACAAAAAGGGCGAGACAUACCUUCAUGCAAGGCGAGGAUCCAUGAGUUUUCCUGUGAAGCAAGAAAGAGUUUAACAAUUCACGGUUGCGCAGUAGUGCUAGCGGCUUUGUGGUUUGGUCCUCAGACCCGGCAGCCGCCACUGGUGAUGAGCUGCUAGGAAGCCCCUGUGGGCGAGCUCCUUGGAGCUUGAACCCACUGUCACCCUUCUGACUCACCGGC